AGGCUGAAAAGCGUAGUCGAUGGGAAACAGGUUAAUAUUCCUGUACUUCUGGUUACUGCGAUGGAGGGACGGAGAAGGCUAGGCCAGCUUGGCGUUGGUUGUCCAAGUUUAAGGUGGUAGGCUGAAAUCUUAGGUAAAUCCGGGGUUUCAAGGCCGAGAGCUGAUGACGAGUCGUCUUUUAGAUGACGAAGUGGUUGAUGCCAUGCUUCCAAGAAAAGCUUCUAAGCUUCAGGUAACCAGGAACCGUACCCCAAACCGACACAGGUGGUCGGGUAGAGAAUACCAAGGCGCUUGAGAGAACUCGGGUGAAGGAACUAGGCAAAAUGGCACCGUAACUUCGGGAGAAGGUGCGCCGGCUAGGGUGAAGGAUUUACUCCGUAAGCUCUGGCUGGUCGAAGAUACCAGGCCGCUGCGACUGUUUAUUAAAAACACAGCACUCUGCAAACACGAAAGUGGACGUAUAGGGUGUGACGCCUGCCCGGUGCCGGAAGGUUAAUUGAUGGGGUUAGCGCAAGCGAAGCUCUUGAUCGAAGCCCCGGUAAACGGCGGCCGUAACAAUAACGGUCCUAAGGUAGCGAAAUUCCUUGUCGGGUAAGUUCCGACCUGCACGAAUGGCGUAACGAUGGCGGCGCUGUCUCCACCCGAGACUCAGUGAAAUUGAAAUCGCUGUGAAGAUGCAGUGUAUCCGCGGCUAGACGGAAAGACCCCGUGAACCUUUACUGUAGCUUUGCACUGGACUUUGAGCCUGCUUGUGUAGGAUAGGUGGGAGGCUUUGAAGCGUGGACGCCAGUUCGCGUGGAGCCAUCCUUGAAAUACCACCCUGGCAUGCUUGAGGUUCUAACUCUGGUCCGUAAUCCGGAUCGAGGACAGUGUAUGGUGGGCAGUUUGACUGGGGCGGUCUCCUCCUAAAGAGUAACGGAGGAGUACGAAGGUGCGCUCAGACCGGUCGGAAAUCGGUCGCAGAGUAUAAAGGCAAAAGCGCGCUUGACUGCGAGACAGACACGUCGAGCAGGUACGAAAGUAGGUCUUAGUGAUCCGGUGGUUCUGUAUGGAAGGGCCAUCGCUCAACGGAUAAAAGGUACUCCGGGGAUAACAGGCUGAUACCGCCCAAGAGUUCAUAUCGACGGCGGUGUUUGGCACCUCGAUGUCGGCUCAUCACAUCCUGGGGCUGAAGCCGGUCCCAAGGGUAUGGCUGUUCGCCAUUUAAAGUGGUACGCGAGCUGGGUUUAGAACGUCGUGAGACAGUUCGGUCCCUAUCUGCCGUGGACGUUUGAGAUUUGAGAGGGGCUGCUCCUAGUACGAGAGGACCGGAGUGGACGAACCUCUGGUGUUCCGGUUGUCACGCCAGUGGCAUUGCCGGGUAGCUAUGUUCGGAAAAGAUAACCGCUGAAAGCAUCUAAGCGGGAAACUUGCCUCAAGAUGAGAUCUCACUGGGAACUUGAUUCCCCUGAAGGGCCGUCGAAGACUACGACGUUGAUAGGCUGGGUGUGUAAGCGUUGUGAGGCGUUGAGCUAACCAGUACUAAUUGCCCGU
rnacentral:rRNA from 1 species